rnacentral:sRNA from 1 species
GCUGGGCAUCUUGGCGCAUGCCUGUAAUCCCAGCAGCCCUGGAGGCUGAGGCAGGAGGAUCGAGAGUUCAAAGCCAGCCUCAGCAAUUUAGCGAAGCUAAGCAACUCCGUGAGAUCCUGUCUCUA